rnacentral:rRNA from 1 species
CAGCCGCCACGGGAAUACGAAGGGUGCAAGCGUUAAUCGGAAUUACUGGGCGUAAAGCGUGCGUAGGCGGUGAGUUAAGUCUGCUGUGAAAUCCCCGGGGUCAACCUGGGAAUGGCAAUGGAUACUGGCAAGCUAGAGUGUGUCAGAGGAUGGUGGAAUUCCCGGUGUAGCGGUGAAAUGCGUAGAGGUCGGGAGGAACAUCAGUGGCGAAGGCGGCCAUCUGGGACAACACUGACGCUGAGGCACGAAAGCGUGGGGAGCAAACAGGAUUAGAUACCCCGGUAGUCCCUGUCUCUUAUAC